rnacentral:tRNA from 1 species
GCCUGGGUGGCUCAGUUGGUUGAGCCUCUGACUUCGGCUCAGGUCAUGAUCUCACAGUUCAUGGGUUCAAGCCCUGCAUCAGGCU